GGGGGAGGGAGGGAGUAAGGGGACAGCGAAGCACGGGAGAGCUGAAGCUGUGCAGAUCUGGCCCGCGCUCAAACCUGUUACCAGCUGCUGCAGCCUCCACUGAAGGAAACGCUCCUCAGUGUUCUUAGGCCUCCCACAUGGCCCAGAGAAGCACAAAAGAGCACAGGCCCAAGUCUUCUUCCUCUUUCAUAGAUCCAGAAGGGACCAUAAGAUCAUCUUGUCUGUGUAUCACAUACCAGUUCCUUUUACCCAGUCAUCCAAGGCAAGUCACCUGUGUUUGACGAACACAUCCUCCAGGAAGGCAGCUGGGAAGGAUUUGAAGAUGGCCAGAGAUGGAGACUCCUCUUCAGGGCACCUUUAAAGAAAGGCCAUUAAAAAGCAUUCCACCCAAGUCUCCAACUUUA